rnacentral:rRNA from 1 species
UCAUUCUACUAAUUUCAAAAACAAUUUCUAACCCUUUAUUUUUACCAGACUAAUCUAUAAAAUUAUAGAACUAACAAUGUUAAAACUAGUAUCAAGAAGUAAGCCCUUCUCUUUAAUGUAAGUGUAAGACAGAAAGGAUAAACCUCUGUCAAUUAACAUCUAUGAUUUUUGAUAAGUAACGUAACAAGAAAACCCUUAUAUUAGCAAUGUUAAACUAACACAAGAGCAUUUCAAGAAAGAUUCAAAAAAAAAGAAGGAACUCGGCAAACCUAAACCCCGCCUGUUUACCAAAAACAUCGCCUCUUGAAUAAAAUAAGAGGUCCAGCCUGCCCAGUGAAAUUAUUCAACGGCCGCGGUAUCCUAACCGUGCGAAGGUAGCGUAAUCACUUGUUCUUUAAAUGAGGACUAGUAUGAAUGGCACCACGAGGGUUCUACUGUCUCCUUUUUUAAAUCAGUGAAACUAAUCUCCCCGUGAAGAAGCGGGGAUUUUUUUAUAAGACGAGAAGACCCUAUGGAGCUUUAAACAAACAUCAUUUGCUGCAUAUAAUACUUUUACCUUCAUUUAAUAUAGCACUAUGACCUUUAGUUUUUGAUUGGGGUGAUCACGGAGUAAAAUGAAACCUCCACGCCGAAAGGGUUUAUUCCCUGAGCAAAAAGCCACAACUUUAAGCACUAAAAAAUUAACGUAAUUUGACCCAAUAUUUUGAUCAACGAACCAAGUUACCCUAGGGAUAACAGCGCAAUCCACUUCAAGAGCUCCUAUCGACAAGUGGGUUUACGACCUCGAUGUUGGAUCAGGGUAUCCUAGUGGUGCAGCCGCUACUAAUG